UUGCACUGUUCGUAACCUGGGAUCAGUCCCUCUCCUGAUGUUGGGUUCCAUUCCAGUGCUACAGUAAAUCAUCUGGAACAAUCGGUGGGCUGCUGCUGUGUGCCAUCCAUCUGUUCUGUGUGUAACAUUA